UAGGUUAACGAGGCGAACCGGGGGAACUGAAACAUCUAAGUACCCCGAGGAAAAGAAAUCAACCGAGAUUCCCCCAGUAGCGGCGAGCGAACGGGGAGCAGCCCAGAGUCUGAAUCAGCUUGUGUGUUAGUGGAACGGUCUGGAAAGUCCGACGGUACAGGGUGAUAGUCCCGUACACCAAAAUGCACAGGCUGUGAACUCGAAGAGUAGGGCGGGACACGUGGUAUCCUGUCUGAAUAUGGGGGGACCAUCCUCCAAGGCUAAAUACUCCUGACUGACCGAUAGUGAACCAGUACCGUGAGGGAAAGGCGAAAAGAACCCCGGCGAGGGGAGUGAAAAAGAACCUGAAACCGUGUACGUACAAGCAGUGGGAGCACCUUCGGGUGUGACUGCGUACCUUUUGUAUAAUGGGUCAGCGACUUAUAUUCUGUAGCAAGGUUAACCGUAUAGGGGAGCCGCAGGGAAACCGAGUCUUAACUGGGCGUUAAGUUGCAGGGUAUAGACCCGAAACCCGGUGAUCUAGCCAUGGGCAGGUUGAAGGUUGGGUAACACUAACUGGAGGACCGAACCGACUAAUGUUGAAAAAUUAGCGGAUGACUUGUGGCUGGGGGUGAAAGGCCAAUCAAACCGGGAGAUAGCUGGUUCUCCCCGAAAGCUAUUUAGGUAGCGCCUCGUGAAUUCAUCUUCGGGGGUAGAGCACUGUUUCGGCUAGGGGGUCAUCCCGACUUACCAACCCGAUGCAAACUACGAAUACCGAAGAAUGUUAUCACGGGAGACACACGGCGGGUGCUAACGUCCGUCGUGAAGAGGGAAACAACCCAGACCGCCAGCUAAGGUCCCAAAGUCAUGGUUAAGUGGGAAACGAUGUGGGAAGGCACAGACAGCCAGGAUGUUGGCUUAGAAGCAGCCAUCAUUUAAAGAAAGCGUAAUAGCUCACUGGUCGAGUCGGCCUGCGCGGAAGAUGUAACGGGGCUAAACCAUGCACCGAAGCUGCGGCAGCGACACUAUGUGUUGUUGGGUAGGGGAGCGUUCUGUAAGCCUGCGAAGGUGUGCUGUGAGGCAUGCUGGAGGUAUCAGAAGUGCGAAUGCUGACAUAAGUAACGAUAAAGCGGGUGAAAAGCCCGCUCGCCGGAAGACCAAGGGUUCCUGUCCAACGUUAAUCGGGGCAGGGUGAGUCGACCCCUAAGGCGAGGCCGAAAGGCGUAGUCGAUGGGAAACAGGUUAAUAUUCCUGUACUUGGUGUUACUGCGAAGGGGGGACGGAGAAGGCUAUGUUAGCCGGGCGACGGUUGUCCCGGUUUAAGCAUGUAGGCUGGUUGUCCAGGCAAAUCCGGAUAAUCAAGGCUGAGGUGUGAUGACGAGGCACUACGGUGCUGAAGUAACAAAUGCCCUGCUUCCAGGAAAAGCCUCUAAGCAUCAGGUAACAUCAAAUCGUACCCCAAACCGACACAGGUGGUCAGGUAGAGAAUACCAAGGCGCUUGAGAGAACUCGGGUGAAGGAACUAGGCAAAAUGGUGCCGUAACUUCGGGAGAAGGCACGCUGGUGUGUAGGUGAAGUCCCUGCGGAUGGAGCUGAGACCAGUCGAAGAUACCAGCUGGCUGCAACUGUUUAUUAAAAACACAGCACUGUGCAAACACGAAAGUGGACGUAUACGGUGUGACGCCUGCCCGGUGCCGGAAGGUUAAUUGAUGGGGUUAUCCGUAAGGAGAAGCUCUUGAUCGAAGCCCCGGUAAACGGCGGCCGUAACUAUAACGGUCCUAAGGUAGCGAAAUUCCUUGUCGGGUAAGUUCCGACCUGCACGAAUGGCGUAAUGAUGGCCAGGCUGUCUCCACCCGAGACUCAGUGAAAUUGAACUCGCUGUGAAGAUGCAGUGUACCCGCGGCAAGACGGAAAGACCCCGUGAACCUUUACUAUAGCUUGACACUGAACAUUGAGCCUUGAUGUGUAGGAUAGGUGGGAGGCUUUGAAGCGUGGACGCCAGUCUGCGUGGAGCCAACCUUGAAAUACCACCCUUUAAUGUUUGAUGUUCUAACGUUGGCCCCUGACCGGGGUUGCGGACAGUGUCUGGUGGGUAGUUUGACUGGGGCGGUCUCCUCCCAAAGCGUAACGGAGGAGCACGAAGGUUAGCUAAUCCUGGUCGGACAUCAGGAGGUUAGUGCAAUGGCAUAAGCUAGCUUGACUGCGAGCGUGACGGCGCGAGCAGGUGCGAAAGCAGGUCAUAGUGAUCCGGUGGUUCUGAAUGGAAGGGCCAUCGCUCAACGGAUAAAAGGUACUCCGGGGAUAACAGGCUGAUACCGCCCAAGAGUUCAUAUCGACGGCGGUGUUUGGCACCUCGAUGUCGGCUCAUCACAUCCUGGGGCUGAAGUAGGUCCCAAGGGUAUGGCUGUUCGCCAUUUAAAGUGGUACGCGAGCUGGGUUUAGAACGUCGUGAGACAGUUCGGUCCCUAUCUGCCGUGGGCGCUGGAGAAUUGAGGGGGGCUGCUCCUAGUACGAGAGGACCGGAGUGGACGCAUCACUGGUGUUCGGGUUGUCAUGCCAAUGGCACUGCCCGGUAGCUAAAUGCGGAAGAGAUAAGUGCUGAAAGCAUCUAAGCACGAAACUUGCCCCGAGAUGAGUUCUCCCUGAGACUUUAAGUCUCCUGAAGGAACGUUGAAGACGA
rnacentral:rRNA from 1 species